GUUGUAUAGUUAAGUGACUAAGCGUACAAGGUGGAUGCCUUGGCAAUCAGAGGCGAAGAAGGACGUGCUAAUCUGCGAAAAGCUUGGAUGAGUCGAUAAGAGGCGUUUAAUCCAAGAUAUCCGAAUGGGGAAACCCAGUAGAUGAAGAAUCUACUAUCAACAAGUGAAUUCAUAGCUUGUUGAGGCAAACCGGGAGAACUGAAACAUCUAAGUACCCCGAGGAAAAGAAAUCAACCGAGAUUUCGUCAGUAGCGGCGAGCGAAAGCGAAAGAGCCAGUAAGUGAUAGCAAUAUAGUUAGGAGAAUGUGUUGGGAAGCACAAUCAAAGAGGGUGAUAAUCCCGUAUCUAAAAACCAUAUUGUGGUACUAAGCUAACGAGAAGUAGGGCGGGACACGUGAUAUCCUGUUUGAAGAAGGGGGGACCAUCCUCCAAGGCUAAAUACUCCUGAUUGACCGAUAGUGAACCAGUACUGUGAAGGAAAGGCGAAAAGAACCCCGGUGAGGGGAGUGAAAUAGAACCUGAAACCUUGUACGUACAAGCAGUGGGAGCCCCAUCACUUAAUCCGAUUGGAAGGUGAUGAAAAGCAACCGCACUUAAACAAUGGUAAGAGGAGCGAAGCGAGUCAAACCACCCAAAAGAAGCAGUGGGAUUAAGUGAUGGGGUGACUGCGUACCUUUUGUAUAAUGGGUCAGCGACUUAUAUUUUGUAGCGAGGUUAACCGAAUAGGGGAGCCGAAGGGAAACCGAGUCUUAACUGGGCGUUGAGUUGCAGGGUAUAGACCCGAAACCCGGUGAUCUAGCCAUGGGCAGGUUGAAGGUUGGGUAACACUAACUGGAGGACCGAACCGACUAAUGUUGAAAAAUUAGCGGAUGACUUGUGGCUGGGGGUGAAAGGCCAAUCAAACCGGGAGAUAGCUGGUUCUCCCCGAAAUCUAUUUAGGUAGAGCCUUGAGGUGACACCUUUGGGGGUAGAGCACUGUUUCGGCUAGGGGUCCAUCCCGGAUUACCAACCCGAUGCAAACUACGAAUACCAAAGAGUGAUACUCAGGAGACACACGGCGGGUGCUAACGUCCGUCGUGGAGAGGGAAACAACCCAGACCGCCAGCUAAGGUCCCCAAGUCUAUAUUAAGUGGGAAACGAAGUGGGAAGGCUUAGACAGCUAGGAUGUUGGCUUAGAAGCAGCCAUCAUUUAAAGAAAGCGUAAUAGCUCACUAGUCGAGUCGGCCUGCGCGGAAGAUGUAACGGGGCUGAAAUAUAGCACCGAAGCUGCGGCAUCAGGCGUAUCACUAAUACGCCUGUUGGGUAGGGGAGCGUUGUGUAAGCGGAUGAAGGUUCAUCGAGAGGUGGGCUGGACGUAUCACAAGUGCGAAUGCUGACAUAAGUAACGAUAAAACGGGUGAAAAACCCGUUCGCCGGAAGACCAAGGGUUCCUGUCCAACGUUAAUCGGGGCAGGGUAAGUCGGCCCCUAAGGCGAGGCUGAAAAGCGUAGUCGAUGGGAAACAGGUUAAUAUUCCUGUACUUGGUAAAGCUGCGAUGUGGGGACGGAGUAGGUUAGGUUAUCGCACUGUUGGAUAUGUGCGUUUAAGUUGGUAGGUGGGAAGUUUAGGCAAAUCCGGACUUCCUUAACACAGAGAGAUGAUGACGAGGCUCUACGGAGCUGAAGUAACUGAUACCACACUUCCAGGAAAAGCCACUAAGCGAAAGGCUUUACUAAACCGUACUGAAAACCGACACAGGUGGUCAGGUAGAGAAUACUCAGGCGCUUGAGAGAACUCGGGUGAAGGAACUAGGCAAAAUAGCACCGUAACUUCGGGAGAAGGUGCGCCGGCGUAGAUUGUAAGGGCUAGCCCCUGAAGGUUGAACCGGUCGAAGUGACCAGCUGGCUGCAACUGUUUAUUAAAAACACAGCACUCUGCAAACACGAAAGUGGAGGUAUAGGGUGUGAUGCCUGCCCGGUGCUGGAAGGUUAAUUGAUGGUGUCAUCGCAAGAGAAGCACCUGAUCGAAGCCCCAGUAAACGGCGGCCGUAACUAUAACGGUCCUAAGGUAGCGAAAUUCCUUGUCGGGUAAGUUCCGACCUGCACGAAUGGCAUAAUGAUGGCCAGGCUGUCUCCACCCGAGACUCAGUGAAAUUGAAAUCGCCGUGAAGAUGCGGUGUACCCGCGGCUAGACGGAAAGACCCCGUGAACCUUUACUAUAGCUUGACACUGAACAUUGAAUUUUGAUGUGUAGGAUAGGUGGGAGACUUUGAAGUAGGAACGCCAGUUUCUAUGGAGUCAUCCUUGAAAUACCACCCUUUAACGUUUGAUGUUCUAACGAAGAUUGCGGAACGUGGUCUCGGACAGUGUCUGGUGGGUAGUUUGACUGGGGCGGUCUCCUCCCAAAGCGUAACGGAGGAGCACGAAGGUUUGCUAAUCACGGUCGGACAUCGUGAGGUUAGUGCAAUGGUAUAAGCAAGCUUAACUGCGAGACAGACAAGUCGAGCAGGUACGAAAGUAGGUCAUAGUGAUCCGGUGGUUCUGAAUGGAAGGGCCAUCGCUCAACGGAUAAAAGGUACUCCGGGGAUAACAGGCUGAUACCGCCCAAGAGUUCAUAUCGACGGCGGUGUUUGGCACCUCGAUGUCGGCUCAUCACAUCCUGGGGCUGAAGUAGGUCCCAAGGGUAUGGCUGUUCGCCAUUUAAAGUGGUACGCGAGCUGGGUUUAGAACGUCGUGAGACAGUUCGGUCCCUAUCUGCCGUGGGCGUAGGAUGAUUGAUUGGGGCUGCUCCUAGUACGAGAGGACCGGAGUGGACGCAUCACUGGUGUUCCAGUUGUCUCGCCAGAGGCAUUGCUGGGUAGCUAAAUGCGGAAGAGAUAAGUGCUGAAAGCAUCUAAGCACGAAACUUGCCAAGAGAUGAGUCAUCCCUGACUUUAAGUCAGUAAGGGUUGUUGUAGACUACGACGUAGAUAGGUCAGGUGUGUAAGUGUAGUGAUACAUUGAGCUAACAGAUACUAAUUGCCCGAGAGGCUUAACUAUACAACGCUCAAG
rnacentral:rRNA from 1 species